rnacentral:rRNA from 1 species
AGCCAGGAUGUUGGCUUAGAAGCAGCCAUCAUUUAAAGAAAGCGUAAUAGCUCACUGGUCGAGUCGGCCUGCGCGGAAGAUGUAACGGGGCUAAACCAUGCACCGAAGCUGCGGCAGCGACGCUGAUGCGUUGUUGGGUAGGGGAGCGUUCUGUAAGCCUGCGAAGGUGUGCUGUGAGGCAUGCUGGAGGUAUCAGAAGUGCGAAUGCUGACAUAAGUAACGAUAAAGCGGGUGAAAAGCCCGCUCGCCGGAAGACCAAGGGUUCCUGUCCAACGUUAAUCGGGGCAGGGUGAGUCGACCCCUAAGGCGAGGCCGAAAGGCGUAGUCGAUGGGAAACAGGUUAAUAUUCCUGUACUUGGUGUUACUGCGAAGGGGGGACGGAGAAGGCUAUGUUGGCCGGGCGACGGUUGUCCCGGUUUAAGCGUGUAGGCUGGUUUUCCAGGCAAAUCCGGAAAAUCAAGGCUGAGGCGUGAUGACGAGGCACUACGGUGCUGAAGCAACAAAUGCCCUGCUUCCAGGAAAAGCCUCUAAGCAUCAGGUAACAUCAAAUCGUACCCCAAACCGACACAGGUGGUCAGGUAGAGAAUACCAAGGCGCUUGAGAGAACUCGGGUGAAGGAACUAGGCAAAAUGGUGCCGUAACUUCGGGAGAAGG